CUCUGUGACUCCUACGGGAGGCAGCAGUGGGAAUAUUGCACAAUGGGCGCAAGCCUGAUGCAGCCAUGCCGCGUGUGUGAAGAAGGCCUUCGGGUUGUAAAGCACUUUCAGUCGUGAGGAAGGUGGUAGUGUUAAUAGCACUAUCAUUUGACGUUAGCGACAGAAGAAGCACCGGCUAACUCCGUGCCAGCAGCCGCGGUAAUACGGAGGGUGCGAGCGUUAAUCGGAAUUACUGGGCGUAAAGCGCAUGCAGGUGGUUUGUUAAGUCAGAUGUGAAAGCCCCGGGGCUCAACCUCGGAAUUGCAUUUGAAACUGGCAGACUAGAGUACUGUAGAGGGGGUAGAAUUUCAGGUGUAGCGGUGAAAUGCGUAGAGAUCUGAAGGAAUACCGGUGGCGAAGGCGGCCCCCUGGACAGAUACUGACACUCAGAUGCGAAAGCGUGGGGAGCAAACAGGAUUAGAUACCCUGGUAG
rnacentral:rRNA from 1 species